rnacentral:rRNA from 1 species
AAUUUUGGACAAUGGGCGCAAGCCUGAUCCAGCCAUGCCGCGUGAGUGAAGAAGGCCUUCGGGUUGUAAAGCUCUUUCGGACGGAAAGAAAUCGCGCAGGCUAAUACCCUGCGCGGAUGACGGUACCGUCAUAAGAAUCACCGGCUAACUACGUGCCAGCAGCCGCGGUAAUACGUACGGCGCGAGCGUUAAUCGGAAUUACCGGGCGUAAAGCGGGCGCAGGCGGUUAAAUAAAACAGGCGUGAAAUCCCCGGGGUUAAACUUGGAACUGCGGUUGUGGAUGGGCAGCUAGGAUACGGCAAAGGGGGGUGGAAUUCCACGUGUAGCAGGGAAAUGCGUAGAGAUGUGGAGGAAAACCGAUGGCGAAGGCAGCCCCCUGGGCCGAUACUGACGCUCAUGCACGAAAGCGUGGGUAGCAAACAGG